rnacentral:rRNA from 1 species
AGAUGUGAUCAUACAAGCACUAAUGCAACGGAUCCCAUUAGAAGUCCGCUGUUAAGCGUGCUUGUGCGAGAGUAAUACUAGAAUAGGUGAUCUCCUGGGAAGUCCUCGUGUUGCACCCC